GAAGCUGAACAACACAGGCAAUACCACGACUACCACCACCAUAACACAAAUCUACAAUCCCCUCCAAUGAACAUUGUUUACUUAGAGCUACUCUUAUUUUGACACUACCACUGUCUUAGUCACCUAGAGCCAAACCCUCACUCUGAUUGUCCUUCCCGUACGUGGUUAGUGUCCAAUUCUCAUCCAUCCACUAAUACAUGUUCCUAAUCACCACACAGGCCUGGCCAAGCAGAGGCUGUACCCAUUUGUCCACAGUGAUUUACCUGAGAACUUAGCACGUGAGUCAGAGAAAAUCAGUCUGAGGUCUUCGUUGAUUUUGUAUAUGCACCAUGAAAGGAAGGCCUCUCCAUCUUUAGAUCUUACACUAUAAACUAUGCUUAAGGGUAAGUACCUUUUCCUCUUUGUAACAUGUGUCUAUAGGGAGAGAGAAUCAAUCUGCAAGAAAAAGGAAGCAGAAACUAAGAGCAAAUGAAUGGAGAGAGUUCUGACCUUGUUUGUGUCUCCUGAAUCCGCCAUGCCUGAAGUCUGCUCUAAGAUCGUCUAACUCAUAAGGGGACAUGUUGGUUGGGUUCUGUCAAACCUAGACAUAUCUGGGAAGAGGGAUUCUUAACUGAGAAAAUUCAUCCAUAAGAUUUACCUGUGGGCACAUCUCUGGGACAUUUUCUUCAUUAAUGCUUGAUGUGAGAGGGCCCAACUCAUGGAAGGGGGUGCCACCCUGAGUAGAAUAAGAAACCCGUUUGUAUAAGAAACCAGGCUGAACAAGCUAGAAGGAACAAGCCAGCAAGCAACAUUCUUCCAUGACCUCUGUGUCAAAUCCUGCCUCCAGGUUCCUGCCUCGAGUUCUUGCUUUGACUUCUCUCAGUAAUGGACUUGGAUGGGGAACUUCAAGCUGAAGUAAAUGCUUUCUUCCCUAAGUUGCUUUGGUUCAUGGUGUUUUAUCACAGCAGUGGAAAACCAACUAAGACAGGCCAAGAGAGUAUCCUCCCCUAACCCAGUCUGAAUCUGGCUUCUUUCCCUUGCACUAAGAUGUCUUCGCUGUCCCUCUACCAGAGAGCAAUGUCAUGUACUCACUCAUGUGCACUCUAGGAGUCCUCUCCACAGAAGUCUUACGAUCAGAGACACCCAGUCAGUGUGUUGCCCUAGACUCCUGGCUUGGCCUCGAGGUGCAGGAUAUAUCCUAACUCUGUGUAAUGAGGAGAAGGGAAAGUGACCUCUGAGGUGGCUGAAACAGAAAGGAAAGUCAGGCGUUAGGAAACUGCAGGGUGACAGCACCUCCGAGCAGGGUGACAGAGAUUUGUUCGUUGAUUGGGAGGACGCUUUAACAAUGGAAGGGAAAGCAAGACAGCGGUUCAGCUGGGUUCUGGGGAGCAGGGGUUGUGCACCUGCAAACCCAUUUAGACAUCAGCCUCACAUUUCCUCGCUGAUUACUUUGUCCUUGUUAAUAGCCGCUGAGAUUUCAUUUUCCCCUCCACCAGUCCUAAUUGCUCGACAUAACAGUAGGCAUCGUGGGAGCCACAAAGAUGAAUAAUACCCAGACGCGGCCCUCGCUUCUUAAAUACCUAUUACAGGAGCAGCCAAGGUAACUUCCUGAGGAUAAACUUGGUGCUGGGGAGAAAACAAAAAAACAACAAAAAAUCCCACCAUCGCGUUAUGUAAGUUUCUAUUUUAAAAUCAUCUGGUUCUAAUUUGCUAACGUUUAACGCUUUCUAGCUAAUGCCAAAAGCGCUACGUUUGAUUUAUGGAAAUACUUCAGCACAUUUUUCCAUCGCGGCCUUGUACAAUAUAGUUACCACCCCCUUUUGUUAUGGUUAGAAAGAUUACGGGCCUUAAAACAGCCUCCUUUAUGAGCUCGCCGAUAUUUUAUCAUAAAAUUCCGUAAGCUGGAGUGAAGUAGUGUAGCAGCAGUAUUUGGAGACCAUUCCACAGGGUUCAACUUUAUUUUCCUUUUUUUCCUAUUUAACAAAAUGCUCCAUCUGGAAAGUGGAUGCUCAAAAACUUUCACUAUGCGGAACCACUUCUUUUCAUGGCAGACAGUAUUUUUUUUUUUCUUUCUUUCUUUGGGGAUGGUGGUGGCCGGGGCAGGGGUAGAUGUUUAGACACGUGUCACACCAAGCUACACUGUGGUCCAAAUAAUAGCAUCAACACCAAAGGGUAAAAGCUCGCACCGGCCCAGACUUCCUAUACGCCAUAGAGCGAGCCCUCAGAACAUUGCAGGCAAAUGGAGUGAACGUCAGAAAACCUUAUAGGUACUGUUGGUGUCUGGGGUUCAGGAGGUCAUGGCAGAGUGUGGCUCAGGCUGAUGGGACCUUAGGCUGAUGUGCAUGCUCCAAGACAGGGACCUAUAGUUCCAGAGAGAGGCAAAGGCAGACCUACUCAGGCUCCAGGAAUGAAAUGUAUUGAUCUAUUUUGUGAUGCUAGGGAUUGAAUCCUGGGCUUUAUGUUUGCUAGAUAACUCAACCACUGAGCCACAUCCUUAGUCCUUCAAUAAGUUAUAUACAGACACACACAGAUAUAAUAUAGACACAUAAUAUAUUCACUUGUAUUUAUAAUAUAGACACAAAUAAAUAUGUUAUAUAUACACAUAUAACAAAUACAACACACACACACACACACACACACACACAACACAUACUCAUUUUCAGGUGCUAUAAACUUUGGGCCUCAAGCAGUUCUCUAUCCCUGAACUCUGUUCCCAGCAGGAUUGGGCCACUUUUUAGUUCUUCUAGUCUUAAGUUUAGCCAUAUGACUCAGCAUGGUCAUUUGUUAACCACCUCAAGACACUGUACAGAACAAUCAAGGACUUCGAAGCACAUUUUGGCCUAAGCCUUUCUGACGACGUGCAGGGUCCAGUUGAGGAAGCCAUUCUUAAAGGUCACUGGACUCAGUGUGCUCUUUCGGUUUCUCUUCUCUGCAGGAAGUCAGGGUUUUCACUUCACACCCACAAAAACCAAGAUGGCUGCCCAGGAAACUGCCCCUGCUCUGCCUGGCUCAUGUAGCCCUUUAAAACGAAGAGGUUUUGUUUCUUCUCAAGCAGAGUUCAGGCAGCUCUUUGCAGUGACAACCUCCAAAAGGCAUGGAAUGAUAGCCACACUUAACUACCUAAAACAAACAAGUGGACACGACCAGCACAGCUGAGAUCUUGAAGGAACCUACUCAUCUUAUAGGCCUCCGAUGACGUAGCUCUGAGGUAAGGAAACAGUGGGGUAUUUAACUUCAGCAGGGGUAGACUACGAGAGACACUUUUCCCGAGUAUCAUGUCUGUGUGCAGCAGGACUCCAGGGAACAGGCCUUCAAAGUUGCCAACCAUCUUCAUGAUCAUGUAAUCAACAAGGCACUGGGAUGGAGACCAUUCACCCUUCAGGUUGCUGACCUCACUAUGAUUUACAUCACUAGAGAUGCUUCAGAACCCGAAGGAGGAAGGCAAUACUUUAAGCAGGAGGCAGAGAAAUUAGAAGACCAGAGAAGGGAAUGGGUGAGAAUCAGGGUGGGAGGUUGGGUGUUCUAAACAAAGAUGGCAACACAAAGGCUAGCUGUGGAUAAAUGGCACCAGAGCAUUGCUUCAAUGGGCACAAGAUUUCAGAUUCCUUUACUCAUGUGUUUUCCCUGCUUCAGAAGGGUGGGGAAACCCACUCAGCUCGAGUAAGUCCAUCUCUGCUACAGAAGGCUUUGGGACCAUGGUUGGGGAUGGUCUUAGCAGUGACCAGCUUUAGGUAGAGUCUGUUUACUUCUUGGAGGGCAAUGCAUGAAGAGAGGAGGAGAAGGUGCAUGCUCAGAGUUCCACAGUUGAAUCUACAGAAGGGGGGGCAUUCUAAGAGUGAAUCAAUCAAUGUAAGUCUUGAAAGAGUGAAGGUGAAAAGGCCUUAGCCUUGUUAGGCAGGGUGAUUCAUGGACCUAAUCACGGUGCAUGGCACACUAAGGCAGGAGGAGGUGAAUUGUAUGAUAACUGACUUGUUAGUGAGUCCACCCCUCCGGUCUCUGUGGAAAGCAGAGUCAUUGUUGUGCCGCAAUAGUUACAGGUGGCCGGGGCUGAAGCCCAGCUCACCAAGGACACUUUAGUCUUUAUCCUAGAGUCUGGUCUCCCUGGCUUCCACCGCUCUCGCCUCCCCCGUGUCACCCAGCCAUUUCUGCAGCUGUUGUUGGUAAGGGGGAUGAUAAACACACGCAUAGUUGAAGAAUGACUAGAUCACGUAGUUCUGCAUUCGUGCCGCUGCUCUGUAAACUGGGCUGGAGUAUUGAGAAACAGCCACGAGCCGCAGGACACAUCUUUGCCCUUGGUUCGUAUAUAUUGAUAUAUUUUCCCAAGCUCCUCCUUGGUGGUCCCAGGACAGUAGUCCUUUCACAGGGCUGCCCAUGGCUGAGCUAGCCUGCCAAGCCAAUGACUCCUCCCUCUCUGCUUUCUCCCUUGGAUUCCCACCCUAGGGGUAGGGGUGGGGGUGAGAGUGGGGGAGUUUGCCUUUCUUUUGUCUAAGGUGAAAAGUCAGGGUUUCCACAUCUCAAAGGAGAACUUAUUACGUGGUGAAAACAAGUUAAUCCUGCUCUUCGCCUCCAUUGAUAAAUCUUUUUACUUUUAAAAGAUGGCGUCUCAUAGAUAUCAGGCUAACCUCAGACACGCUGUGUUUAGUAUUGAUCCUCCGGCCUUCCCAAUCUCCGCUGGUCUGUGCCACCAAGCCAUUCUUCAAUCUCAUGCUUCUUUCGCCUGUCAGUGUUUCUUCUAGGAAAAGACAGACUGAGUGGAAGACACAAUGCCAUAGGCUCCAUGCUCUCAAAACCUCCAGAAACCUCAACAAAACAACUGUUUCCUCCUCUUGCUUUACUUGGGCUGUGUCAUGUCUCUUACUAUGUGCACAUCUGCAUUGGUCCUGGUUUGCAAUGAGGGUUUCUUCUCUCAUUGGACUAGGCAAGCUGUGCCUGAUGAAUUUACUUCAAGGUCAUUAACUAGAGAAAGACAGAGUCCCAUUUUUCACAAAUAGCAGUGGGCACGUCUUUCUUUCCUCCCUAACAUCAGGUUGAUUGGUUUCUUGCGGCCUUCUCCACUGUCCUUGGCUUACACAGCCCCUAGAAAUAUGUGACCAAGGUUCAGAGCCAAAAAAGUGAGACUACAGAGGAUUCUCUGUGUUCAAGAAAGAAUAGCUGGGAGCUGCCCUGGGAGGUCCUCUUCCUGUUACUGGCUUCAUUCUGGUCAUACUUCAAUGCACACUCCCUCAAGGGGGCAAAGAACACUGUUCAUCCCAUACACACAUUGGAUUGGUUUAACUCCUCCUAGUCCCUUGUAACUGCCUGCUCUCUUUUCCCUUCUCUCCAGGUUCAACUAAUUGCUUCUCUCUGGACCCCGAAACCAUUGGCCUGUGCAUGCCUGAGCCUGCCUCCUCCAGCAGCAGCAAGGUCUAGGGAGUGUUGGUCACUAGGCUCUAUUUCUUUUUAUAGAUUAUUAGCAGAUCUUCAAAGCAACCAUGGGCUUUGUGUUAGCCAAUGGGAAGAAGAAGAGUGUGUCUUUUUAACUGUUGCCUCGUUAACCUGGUUCCUUGAAGGUAAACAAGGAUAAAGUAGAGAUAUGUUAGGACCCUUGUAAUAUUGAGAAUCACAUAGGUAUAUGAUUACCUACAUCCAUAUUUUUGCAUAUUUAAACCUAGUAGAUGUAUUUUUGUUGUUUGAUCUGACUUUUUCUUUUUUUUAAAUUUUUUGAGAUAGUCCUUAGGCUAACCUCAAAAUUGCUAGAUAGUUGAGGAAUGUUUCAAAUUUCUGAUGCUAGUAUUCUAAGUGAGAGCCACCAUACCCAGACCUAACAGAUACAUUCUUGAAAAUUAUAUUUAUAUAUAUACACAUAUAUAUAUACACACACAUACAUACACACACAUAUAUAUGUAAAUGUAUACACACACAUAUUAAAAAACAGGGUUGUAAAUAAAUAGUGCCUCUCUCUGCUUAGCUUUUACCAAAACAAGUCCAUACCAAGGGAUCGAGUUUGCUUAUGGAGAGGGCAGUCUAGAUCGUGACAAAUGCCAUACACACGCACACACAAUGAGUGCCUCGGAGGCCAAGGCUUGUGACCGUAUCUCUGCCGACUCCCUCAUAAUGUUCAUUACACGGUCCCACCCUGGGCUGAACUCCAUGCUCCCUUUCCAGCUGGCAGAGUUCAUCCUGUUAGUAGUGACUCAGUAUGACUUCAUUUAUUUCAAGGCUUUGAGUCAAUAGCAAGACCCACAUUCCCCAAGGCAUUAUUUGCACAACUGGAGGCAGAAAUGAACACCCAGUAACACGGAGGGCACCUGUAUCCUUAGAGAAUCACCUGGUCUGGGCUUGCUCUUUGGGUAACACCUCUAUCCACCCAAACAGCCUCCUUUCCACACGGGCCAGGAUGAACAAACAAGAAUCUGAAGUGCUCUGUGUUCUUUUGUGUGUGACUGGGUCUUUCCUCUCUAGAACUUUCCGAGUUGCCCGCACAAAGGGCCCUUCCCUAUCCAGAGUUGCUAUACCCCUUUCUCAUGGUGCCACUUAGCCAAAUGCUACGAUGAGAAAACUGUGGGCUCUUUUGUCUGUGUUCUUUGUUUCAGAGCAAAACCAAACUGUUGUAUUGAGAGCCAGUUGCAAGAGUCCCUCUCAGCAUGAAGCCCAGGAACCAGCUUAGAACUGAAGUCAUUGUUUGCUCUGAGCGUCACUGAAACACUUCAAGUUUGCACGUAUUCUCAUCUCAAAGUUUUACGGGAGUAAUAAAGGUGGUUUAUUACCACAGAUAUGCUUUCAGACUGAUAAUAUGGCCCCUGAUCCAUCUGACCCUGUGGACGGGGAGUGUCCCUACAUCUGUUCUGUAGGGUCACCCAGGCUGUGCCCUUAGAUUCUUACUCAGACUUGGAAACGAUGCCCCAGUCACGAGUCACACAUCAGCCCUUGGUACAAGGUUAAUGCAGCGGGGAUCACAAACUCUGGGUCCUUCCAACAGGCAAGGGUGUGACAUUAUGGCUAAACCUCACUUUAUUGCAGCCGUCUACAGUGCUUCCUGCUCUCCAGGAGGAUGAAUGCCUGGGAGUUCCCCCUGAAAAGUUCCGUGAUCCAUGCCUCAGUCCAUGUGCCCCUUGAGCCCGCUGUGUUUAAAGAACCAUCCUCCAAGUAGGUAGCGCUGAGCUGAGCACGGCCCAUUGCAGCAUAGGGAGAACCACAGCACAUCUGUCCAGACGGGCAGACCCCAUGCUUCCCGAACAUCAAAUGCCAGCGAGAAUGUAGAAGACAAAGGGGUCUUUGUGCAUGGUUGGAUGGAAGGAAACGGGUGUCGCCAUUAUGAAAAAAAAAUGGUAUGCAGAUGCUUCAAAAAAUUGAAAACAGAGUUAGCAUAUGAUAGAGUAAUCCUACUACUGGAUAUCUGUCCAAAGGAAGUGAACUUAGCAUGUCAAAAGUUAUCUGUAUCCUCCUUGUCCCUGCUGCACUGUUGGCAACAGAAAGAUCUGGAAACAACUGGUAUAUUUGCUGAUAAAUGACGUGACGAGGAAUACACA
rnacentral:sRNA from 1 species